rnacentral:piRNA from 1 species
UGUGUGUGGAGAAGUCUUCGUGGGUC